GCCAGUAUCAAAAAGAGCCCUUGCUCGAACACCAUUUACCGAAAUCAUACCUGCCACCACAUUGCGCUCCUCGGCUUCGGUGGGCUCCUCGACUUGCACUUGGGCGGCAUACAUCCGCCCGCUCGGAGCCGAUCGCGCUGGUUCAGGUUGGCGUGGCGCCGCCGCUCGCCCAGCCGACGCCGCAGCCGAUGGAACUCCAUAGCGAGCCGAAAUCGCC
rnacentral:lncRNA from 1 species